GUCUAAGGCCAUGUCACCCUGAACAAGCCAAUCCUGUCGAUCUCAGAAGCUAAGCAGGGUUGGGCCUGGUUAGUACUUGGAUGGGAGACGACCUAGGAAGACCAGGUGCUGUAGGUG
rnacentral:rRNA from 1 species